rnacentral:rRNA from 1 species
UACGGAGGGUGCAAGCGUUAGUCGGAAUUACUGGGCGUAAAGCGUGCGCAGGCGGUUUGUUAAGUCUGUUGUGAAAUCCCCGAGCUCAACUUGGGAAUUGCAAUGGAUACUGGCAGGCUGGAGUAUGGUAGAGGAAGGUGGAAUUCCCGGUGUAGCAGUGAAAUGCGUAGAGAUCGGGAGGAACACCAGUGGCGAAGGCGGCCUUCUGGACCAAUACUGACGCUCAUGCACGAAAGCGUGGGGAGCAAACAGG